GGCUUACCAACCCGAUGCAAACUGCGAAUACCGGAGAAUGUUAUCACGGGAGACACACGGCGGGUGCUAACGUCCGUCGUGAAGAGGGAAACAACCCAGACCGCCAGCUAAGGUCCCAAAGUCAUGGUUAAGUGGGAAACGAUGUGGGAAGGCCCAGACAGCCAGGAUGUUGGCUUAGAAGCAGCCAUCAUUUAAAGAAAGCGUAAUAGCUCACUGGUCGAGUCGGCCUGCGCGGAAGAUGUAACGGGGCUAAACCAUGCACCGAAGCUGCGGCAGCGAACGUAUCACCCAAGACAACUUUACGGAGUUGACGAUUGACGGAGCGAAGCGACGUCAAAGCGUUCAUUAAAGUCGAGUUGGCUUAGGGAUACGUUCGUUGGGUAGGGGAGCGUUCUGUAAGCCUGUGAAGGUGUGUCGUGAGGCAUGCUGGAGGUAUCAGAAGUGCGAAUGCUGACAUAAGUAACGAUAAAGCGGGUGAAAAGCCCGCUCGCCGGAAGACCAAGGGUUCCUGUCCAACGUUAAUCGGGGCAGGGUGAGUCGACCCCUAAGGCGAGGCCGAAAGGCGUAGUCGAUGGGAAACGGGUUAAUAUUCCCGUACUUGGUGUUACUGCGAAGGGGGGACGGAGAAGGCUAUGUUGGCCGGGCGACGGUUGUCCCGGUUUAAGCGUGUAGGUGUGUGUUCCAGGUAAAUCCGGUUCACUUUAACACUGAGGCGUGACGACGAGGCACUACGGUGCUGAAGCAACAAAUGCCCUGCUUCCAGGAAAAGCCUCUAAGCAUCAGGUAACAC
rnacentral:rRNA from 1 species